rfam:Suillus luteus TH-Slu-Lm8-n1 unplaced genomic scaffold CY34scaffold_1, whole genome shotgun sequence.
GCCCGCCUAGCUCAAUCGGAUAGAGCGUCAGACUUUUACGAAUUGUACGAGUUUGUGCAAGGCGGUGAUCUGAAGGCUGCGAGUUCGACCCUCGCGGUGGGCU